rnacentral:rRNA from 1 species
AACGAACGCUGGCGGCAUGCCUAACACAUGCAAGUCGAACGAGACCUUCGGGUCUAGUGGCGCACGGGUGCGUAACGCGGGGUAACCUGCCCUUAGGUUCGGAAUAACUCCCCGAAAGGUGUGCUAAUACCGGAUAAUGUCUUCGGACCAAAGAUGUAUCGCCUUUGGAUGGGCCCGCGUUGGAUUAGCUGGUUGGUAGGGUAAAAGCCUACCAAGGAGACGAUCCAUAGCUGGUAUGAGAGGAUGAUAAGCCACACUGGGACUGAGACACGGACCAGACUCCUACGGGACGGAGCAGUGGGGAAUAUUGGACAAGGGGCGCAAGCCUGACACCGCCAUGCCGGGUGAGUGAGGCAGGCCUUAGGGUUGUAAAGCUCUUUUACCCGGGAUGAUAAUGACAGUACCGGGAGAAUAAGCUCCGGCUAACUACGUG